rnacentral:rRNA from 1 species
UACGGAGGGUGCAAGCGUUAUCCGGAAUCACUGGGCGUAAAGCGUGCGUAGGUGGCGCGUUAAGUGUGAUGUUAAAUCGUGGGGCUCAACCCUAUCGAUGCAUCGCAUACUGGCGUGCUAGAGGACAGCAGAGGCAAGUGGAAUUUGUAGUGUAGCAGUGAAAUGCGUAGAUAUUGGGAAGAACACCAGUGGCGAAGGCGGCUAACUGGUCCAGAUCUGACGCUGAGGUGCGAAAGCGUGGGGAGCAAACAGG